rnacentral:misc_RNA from 1 species
GAUGAGAACGCAGUGAAAUGCGAUACGUAAUGUGAAUUGCAGAAUUCAGUGAAUCAUCGAAUCUUUGAACGCAUAUUGCGCUCUCUGGUAUUCCGGAGAGCAUGCUUGUUUGAGUAUCAGUAAACACCUCAACUUCCAUAUCUUUUUUGAAAUGGGAGUUGGACUUGAGUGAUCCCAACGCUUUUCCUCACCGAAAAGUGGCGGGUUACUUGAAAUGCAGGUGCAGCUGGACUUUUCUCUGAGCUAUAAGCAUAUCUAUUUAGUCUGCCUAAAAAACAGAUUAUUACCUUUGCUGCAGCUAACAUAAAGGAGAUUAGUUCUUGUGCUGACUGAUGCAGGAUUCACAAAGACAGGCUUCGGCCGACUUUGUAAACUCGAUCUCAAAUCAAGUAAGACUACCCGCUGAACUUAAGCAUAUCAAUAAGCGGAGGA